rnacentral:rRNA from 1 species
AUGCCACGCACGCCGGAGCGUCAGCGCGGCGCGGCGCACGCGAACGCGGACGGCGUGACGCGAGUGAAGAAGCCCGGCCGCGGGGAUUCAAAAUCAACGGCGGCGGAAAUUCAAAAUCCCUCCGCCUCCUGGUGCCCUCCAGCUCACCGCCAGCGUCCGCCCGCCCGUCCGGUGCCGCCCAUCACUCACUCACCCACUGCCAAGUGCCAACCCUACAUAAACCCCGGCAACCCCCUGCUCUCGCCACGACACGGCCACGGCCACUCCACUUCACUCUCCCACCUUCUCCAUCCCCCAGCUGCCGCCCACCCAAAUCAAAAUCGGCUCCACCUCCACAGCACCCAGGCACGCCGCCCGUCCGUCCACCCAUCCGGCUCGCGUGCGUGCCAUGAGGACCCUCGUGCUCGUGCCCGUCCUCCUCCUCCUGCUGGGCGCGUGCCAUGGGCAGCGGAAGAACUACGUGGUGCACCUCGAGCCGAGGGACGACGAGGGGAGCGCCGCCCUCCCGGUGGAGGACUGGCACCGCUCGUUCCUCCCCGAGGCCGCGCCGACCUCUGCCGGCGACGGCGCCGACGCCGGGCCCAGGAUCAUCUACUCCUACAGCCACGUGCUCACCGGGUUCGCGGCGCGGCUCAGCGACGCCGAGGCCGAGGCGCUGCGGGGCAGGCCGGGCUGCAUCAGGCUCUACCCCGAGGUGUUCCUCCCGCUGGCCACCACCCACUCGCCGGGCUUCCUCGGCCUGCAGACCGGCAAGGACGGCUUCUGGAGCCGCUCCGGGUUCGGCCGCGGCGUGGUGAUUGGGCUCGUCGACACCGGCAUCCUGCCCAGCCACCCCUCCUUUGGGGACGCCGGGAUGCCGCCGCCGCCCAAGAAGUGGAAGGGCGCGUGCGAGUUCAAGGCGAUUGCCGGCGCGGGGGGGUGCAACAACAAGGUCAUCGGCGCGCGCGCGUUCGGCAGCGCGGCGGUGAACGACACGGCCCCGCCCGUCGACGACGCCGGCCACGGCACGCACACGGCCAGCACGGCGGCCGGCAAUUUCGUGGAGAACGCUGA